rnacentral:rRNA from 1 species
UACGAAGGGGGCUAGCGUUGCUCGGAAUCACUGGGCGUAAAGCGCACGUAGGCGGGUCUUUAAGUCAGGGGUGAAAUCCUGGAGCUCAACUCCAGAACUGCCUUUGAUACUGAAGAUCUCGAGUCCGGAAGAGGUGAGUGGAACUCCGAGUGUAGAGGUGAAAUUCGUAGAUAUUCGCAAGAACACCAGUGGCGAAGGCGGCUCACUGGCCCGGUACUGACGCUGAGGUGCGAAAGCGUGGGGAGCAAACAGG